rnacentral:rRNA from 1 species
GAUGAACGCUAGCGGCAGGCCUAAUACAUGCAAGUCGAACGGUGUAGCAAUACACAGUGGCGCACGGGUGCGUAACACGUAUGCAACCUACCUAUCAUUGGGGGAUAGCCUUUGGAAACGGAGAUUAAUACCGCAUAAGACAGUAACAUGGCAUCAUGUAGCUGUUAAAGCUUCGGCGAUGAUAGAUGGGCAUGCGUCCAAUUAGUUAGUUGGUGAGGUAACGGCUCACCAAGACGAUGAUUGGUAGGGGAUCUGGGAGGAUAAUCCCCCACACUGGCACUGAGAGACGGGCCAGACUCCUACGGGAGGCAGCAGUAGGGAAUAUUGGGCGAUGGGCGGAAGCCUGACCCAGCCAUGCCGCGUGCAGGAUGAAGGCGUUAUGCGUUGUAAACUGCUUUUUUAUAGGAAGAAGGAGACCUUGCGAGGUUUGGUGACGGUACUAUAAGAAUAAGCACCGGCUAACUCCGUGCCAGCCGCCGCCGUAACAC